AGCAGCCGCGGUAAUUCCAGCUCCAAUAGCAUAUAUUAAAGUUGUUGCAGUUAAAAAGCUCGUAGUUGAACUUCAGGCCUGUCCAGAUGGUCCGCCUUAAUUGGUGUGUACUGUCCUUGGGUGGGUCCUACCUUCUGGCGAAGCGGCAUGGCCUUAAUUGGUUGUGUUGGGGAACCAGGACUUUUACUGUGAAAAAAUUAGAGUGUUCAAAGCAGGCAUAUAUGCUCGAAUACAUUAGCAUGGAAUAAUGGAAUAGGACGAUGGUUCUAUUUUGUUGGUUCUAGGACCGUUGUAAUGAUUAAUAGGGAUAGUUGGGGGCAUUAGUAUUCAAUUGUCAGAGGUGAAAUUCUUGGAUUUAUUGAAGACUAACUACUGCGAAAGCAUUUGCCAAGGAUGUUUUCAUUAAUCAAGAACGAAAGUUAGGGGAUCGAAGACGAUCAGAUACCGUCGUAGUCUUAACCAUAAACUAUGCCGACUAGGAAUCGGGCGAUGUUGACAAAAUGACUCGCUCGGCACCUCAUG
rnacentral:rRNA from 1 species